GCUUAAUACAUGCAAGUCGAGGGGCAGCAUGGUCGGACCUAGUUUGACUGAUGGCGACCGGCGCACGGGUGAGUAACGCGUACGCAACCUACCCUUAAGAGUGGGGAUAGCCCUGGGAAACCGGGAGUAAUACCCCAUGGCAUCCAGCACAUGCAUGUGUGCUGGAUUAAAACUGAGGUGCUUAAGGAUGGGCGUGCGUGCUAUUAGGUAGUUGGUGAGGUAACGGCUCACCAAGCCGACGAUAGCUAGGGGGCGUGAGAGCGUGAUCCCCCACACGGGUACUGAGACACGGACCCGACUCCUACGGGAGGCAGCAGUAAGGAAUAUAUGGACAAUGGGCGAGAGCCUGAUCCAGCCAUCCCGCGUGCAGGAAGACGGCCCUAUGGGUUGUAAACUGCUUUUAUAAGGGAAGAA
rnacentral:rRNA from 1 species